rnacentral:rRNA from 1 species
GGCGCACGGGUGAGUAACGCGUGGAUAAUCUACCCUUAAGUUUGGAAUAACGUACCGAAAGGUGCGCUAAUACCGGAUAAUACUGGGCAACUACUGUUGUUUAGUCAAAGAAGGCUUCUGUUUACAUGCUUUUGCUGAAGGAUGAGUCCGCGUACCAUUAGCUAGUUGGUAGGGUAAAAGCCUACCAAGGCGACGAUGGUUAGCUGGUCUGAGAGGAUGAUCAGCCACACUGGAACUGAGACACGGUCCAGACUCCUACGGGAGGCAGCAGUGAGGAAUAUUGCGCAAUGGGGGCAACCCUGACGCAGCAACGCCGCGUGAGUGAGGAAGGUUUUCGGACCGUAAAGCUCUGUCGAGCGGGAAGAAAUGCAUGGUGGCUAAUAUCCAUCAUGCUUGACGGUACCGCUAGAGGAAGCACCGGCUAACUCCGUGCCAGCAGCCGCGGUAAUACGGGGGGUGCAAGCGUUGUUCGGAAUUAUUGGGCGUAAAGAGCGUGUAGGCGGCUGGACAAGUCAGAUGUGAAAGCCCUGGGCUUAACUCAGGAAGUGCAUUUGAAACUGUUCGGCUG